rnacentral:rRNA from 1 species
CUACGGGUCGCAGCAGUGAGGAAUUUUGCGCAAUGGGGGAAACCCUGACGCAGCAACGCCGCGUGAGCGAAGAAGGCCUUCGGGUCGUAAAGCUCUGUCAAGUGGGAAAAAAAUUCUUUGAUCAAUAGUCAAAAGACUUGAUGGUACCACUGGAGGAAGCACCGGCUAACUCCGUGCCAGCAGCCGCGGUAAUACGGAGGGUGCAAGCGUUGUUCGGAUUUACUGGGCGUAAAGAGCGUGUAGGCGGUUUAGCAAGUCAGAUGUGAAAGCCCUGGGCUCAACCCGGGAAGUGCAUUUGAAACUGCUUCACUAGAGUAUGGGAGAGGAGAUUGGAAUUCCUGGUGUAGAGGUGAAAUUCGUAGAUAUCAGGAAGAACACCCGUGGCGAAGGCGAUUCUCUGGACCAAUACUGACGCUGAGACGCGAAAGCGUGGGGAGCAAACAGGAUUAGAUACCCUGGUAGUC